rnacentral:tRNA from 1 species
GGGGAGUUAGCUUAAAUGGUAAGCGUUGGAUAAAGGUUCGAGUCCUUUACUCUCCU